rnacentral:rRNA from 1 species
AGCCAGGGGGCGGUGACUGCCCCAUUUGGCUGUGUGAUUGGCGGAGGUUCCGGGGUGCUCUUCGUUGAGUGUCCCGGUGCGCCGUCAGGUUUACUUUGAAAAAAUUAGAGUGCUCAAAGCAGGCUUUUCAGGCUUGAAUAUUCGUGCAUGGAAUAAUGGAAUAGGAACUCGUUCCUAUUUUGUUGGUUUUCGGAAAUCGAGUUAAUGAUUAAUAGGGACAAUUGGGGGCAUUAGUAUUCAAACGACAGAGGUGAAAUUCUUGGACCGUUUGAAGACUAACUACUGCGAAAGCAUUUGCCAAGAGUGUUUUCA